rnacentral:lncRNA from 1 species
AUGUGGGGAGGGGGUCCCCAAAAUCAUCCCCUCAAGAACUCUAAAAUCAUCCCAAAACCACCCCAAAUUCCCUUAGAGUCCCCCCCAAGACCCUCUAAAACCCACUCAGGACCCCCCAAAACUCUCAGGAAGCCAAAUAUCACCCCAAAAAUUCUCUCAGGAUCCCCCAAAUCCCCUCAAGAUCCUACAAAUUCCCUCAGAACCCCUCAAAUAGAAUCCAAGACCCCCCAAAACCCCUCAGGAUCCUACAAAUUACCUCAGGGCUCCCCAAAAUCCCUCAGGAUCCUACAAAUUACCUCAGGGCUCCCCAAAAUCCCUCAGGAUCCUACAAAUUACCUCAGGGCUCCCCAAAAUCCCUCAGGAUCCUUCAAAAACCCUCAGGGCUCCCCAAAACCCCUCAGGAUCCUACAAAUUACCUCAGGGCUCCCCAAAAUCCCUCAGGAUCCUACAAAUUACCUCAGGGCUCCCCAAAACCCCUCAGGAUCCUACAAAUUACCUCAGGGCUCCCCAAAAUCCCUCAGGAUCCUACAAAUUACCUCAGGGCUCCCCAAAACCCCUCAGGAUCCUACAAAUUACCUCAGGGAUCCCCAAAAUCCCUCAGGAUCCUUAAAAACCCUCAGGACUCCCCCAAAAUCCCUCAGGAUCCUACAAAUUACCUCAGGGCUCCCCAAAAUCCCUCAGGAUCCUUCAAAAACCCUCAGGGCUCCCCAAAAUCCCUCAGGAUCCUACAAAUUACCUCAGGGUCCCCCAAAACCUCUCAAGAUCCUACAAAUUACCUCAGGGCUCCCCAAAACCUCUCAAGAUCCUACAAAUUACCUUAGGACCCCCCCAAAACCCCUCAGGAUCCUACAAAUUACCUCAGGACUCCCCAAAACCUCUCAAGAUCCUACAAAUUACCUCAGGGCUCCCCAAAACCCCUCAGGAUCCUUCAAAAACCCUCAGGACUCCCCAGAAUCCCUCAGGAUCCUUCAAAACCCCUCAGAACCCCCUCAGGACCCCUAAACACCCUUCAAGCCCCCUCAGGAUCCUCCAAAGCCCCUCAGGACCCCCCAAAUCCCCUCAGGAUCCCCAAAUCCCCUCAGGAUCCUCCAAAGCCCCUCAGGACCCUCCCAAACCCCUCAGGAUCCUUCAAAACCCCUCAGGAUCCCCAAAUCCCCUCAGGACCCCCAACCCCCGCCUCAAGAUUCUCCUCAGGACCCCUCAAACCCCCACCCCGNAAUCCAAACCCCCCAAUCCCCAAACCCCCCCAAACAUUCCCAAAACCCCCCAAAAAAACCCCAAAAUCCCCCAAAUUCCCCCCAAAACAAAUCCCCCCCCCAGGGAACCUCGGCGCAUCGUGAUCCCUCGAGGCUCCACCGGGCUGGGAUUCAACAUCGUGGGGGGCGAGGAUGGCGAAGGAAUCUUCAUCUCCUUCAUCCUGGCCGGGGGUCCCGCCGACCUCAGCGGGGAGCUGCGCAAGGGAGACCAAAUCCUAUCGGUGGGUGACAAAUUUUGGGAAGUUUGGGAAUUUUUUGGGAAUUUUUUGGGAUUUUUUUGGGAAUUUUUUGGGAUUUUUUUGGAAUUUUUUUGGAUUUUUUUUGGAUUUUUUUUUGGAUUUUUUUGGAUUUUUUUUUGGUUUUUUUUGGAUUUUUUUUGGAUUUUUUUUGGAUUUUUUUUGGAUUUUUUUUGGAUUUUUUUUGGGAUUUUUUGGGGAUUUUUUUGGGAUUUUUUUGGGGUUUUUUGGGAACUUUUUGGAUUUUAUUUAGGGGAUGUAUUGGGAUUUUUUUUUUUUUGGGAUUUUUUGGGGAUUUUUUUGGGAUUUUUUUGGGGUUUUUUGGGAACUUUUUGGAUUUUAUUUAGGGGAUGUAUUGGGAUUUUUUUGGGAUUUUUAGAAGGUUUAUAAGGAUUUUUUGGGGAUUUUUUUCGGGGUUUUUUGGGUUUUUUUUAGGGAUUUUUUAGGGAAUUUUUUUGGACUUUUUAGGGAUUUUUUGGGGAUUUAUAGGAAUUUUUGGGGGGAUUUUUA